GUGCCAGCAGCCGCGGUAAAACGUAGGGGGCGAGCGUUGUCCGGAAUUACUGGGCGUAAAGGGCAUGCAGGCGGUGCGCCAAGUCGGCUGUGAAAGUCCCCGGCUCAACCGGGGGAUUGCAGUCGAAACUGAGGGGCUUGAGUGCAGGAGAGGAGGGUGGAAUUCCCGGUGGAGCGGUGAAAUGCGUAGAUAUCGGGAGGAACACCGGUGGCGAAGGCGACUGCCUGGACGAUAACUGACGCUGAGGCACGAAAGCUAGGGGAGCAAACAGGAUUAGAUACCCUGGUAGUCCUAGCCGUAAACGAUGGGUACUAGGUGUAGGGGUUUCGAUACCUCUGUGCCGCAGUUAACGCAAUAAGUACCCCGCCUGGGGAGUACGGUCGCAAGGUUGAAACUCAAAUGAAUUGACGG
rnacentral:rRNA from 1 species